rnacentral:rRNA from 1 species
UACGGGGGGAGCAAGCGUUGUUCGGAUUUACUGGGCGUAAAGAGCGCGUAAACGGCCACUGCAAAUCGACUGUGAAAUCUCCGAACUUAACCCGGAAAGGUCAGCCGAUACUGCAGGGCUAGAGUGCAGAAAAGGCAACUGGAAUUCUCGGUAUAGCGGUGAAAUGCAUAGAUAUCGAGAGGAACACCUGCGGCGAAGACGGGUUGCUGGGCUGACACUGACGCUAAAGCGCGAAAACUAGGAGAGCGAACGGG